CCUACGGGAGGCAGCAGUGAGGAAUAUUGGUCAAUGGGCGGAAGCCUGAACCAGCCAAGUAGCGUGCGGGAUGAAGGCCCUAUGGGUCGUAAACCGCUUUUGUACGGGGAUAAAACCCUCCACUUGUGGAGGUUUGCAGGUACCGUGUGAAUAAGGAUCGGCUAAAUCCGUGCCAGCAGCCGCGGUAAUACGGAGGGCCCGAGCGUUAUCCGGAUUUAUUGGGGUUAAAGGGAGCGUAGGUGGGGGGUUAAGUCAGUUGUGAAAGUCUGCGGCUCAACCCUCCCAUUGAAGUUGAAACUGGACGCCUUGAGUUCACUACAGGCAGGCGGAAUUCGUGGUGUAGCGGUGAAAUGCAUAGAUAUCACGAAGAACCCCGAUUGCGAAGGCAG
rnacentral:rRNA from 1 species